rnacentral:lncRNA from 1 species
GGCCUGUUGAUGCCACUGCUGUUGAAGUCUAUGUGAAUGGUGCCCCCUGGUGGAAGGAAAAAGAGAAUGGGACGCCAGGAAUGUCAGAUGCUUUUCAGCCUCUCCCCUGCUCUCACGCCUAGAAACAAGAGCUCCACAAAGGUCUCUCAUUCCUCAAGGCUGAUGAAAAGCCCAGCAGCUAAAUGGCCAGAAGCCUGUCUUUGUGAGAAAGCAAGAAGUCUCUCGGUUUGAACUCUUCGGUCUAGAGACAGAUUCUUCUACCAGUGGUGUAAAACCCUAAAGAGGCUCUGCAUAAGACCUACCACUGCUCUGUGUCUCAUGACACCCUGCCCCCACCACUGGAAGGCCACACUUAUUCUUUGUGUUCAUGCUUCUCUAUGAUCUGCAA